UUCAGAUGACAUAUAUGGUCCAAACCAUUGGGGGUAUAACAGAGUUCAUAUAACCUGAUAUUUUGUUCUUUUACAAGGCAUAUUCUCGAAUCAGAGAUAAAUUCCAGGAUCACCCUAACUAUAAACAUAUAUACUUCUGCUCAGUUUGUAGAUCAUUUUAGAGGUGAACAAAUCAUCAUAGAGUUCCAUUACAUAAUGAGUACCAUUAAGAGCAUGACAGAAGGUCUGCUUCAAAUUUGACGAUAAAUAGAGUACUUUUGUAAGGCACCCUCUUUCAAUGAGAACAGGCAAGAACGCUGCAGGACAUCCAACGAAAUCACAAGUAAUAAGUGACAAAUUCAUGAUUGACAAGAGCUGAGGUAAUAGUAACAAAAGAAGCUAGGCUUCAGGCAAUCAGAAUACUGUCAAUAGAAUGUAUCAAAUUAUCACAACCGAUGACUCCGUGAUCCUCAAGCAUGACUAGGACAUUAAAAAAGACCCAGAUUAAUCAUUAAUUAAAUUCCACACUAGAUCAUCUUCUACAUGCUUGUGGAGAUAACCAUCAUUGAUUGAACUGAACUGCAGUAGCAAUAGCACAAGUGCACUGCGCACAAAAUAAAGUAGCCAGAAGUAAUUUCUGCUAUUAAAUGUUUGCUAUGUCACAAAUUAUACAUACAAGAAAUAUAAAUACAUCAUGAGAAUUUGUGAUAAACUAUUCUAUCCUCCUUUACUUUGACCAGUUCUUCAUAUGAUAAGAUUAAAAUUUGAUUGUUUACACAUACGUUAAUCAGUUCUGCUUCUUUCUUUUCCCAGUAACAUCAUACCAUACUUGCAAUACGCAAUAAGCAGGGGCUUGUAACUAGAAUUCGGACAAAAUUCACUAUGAUGCAUAUCAAAUUUUAUUUUUUAUUUUAAUUAUAUUUUUACUUUUUAGAUUGCUGUUAUCAAUAGGUACAAGUUAGAUCACAUCAAGGUCUGCAACGUAGGUGAAAUUCAAUGUAAAGGCACUUACCUUAAGAGAUUAAUUGUGAACGUGCUCCUCAGUCUCUUGGCCUUGCCAACACAUUACACAUGUAGAUGAAGUGUGUGGUGCUCAGU
rnacentral:lncRNA from 1 species